rnacentral:rRNA from 1 species
AUGGAUGUUUUCCGACUGGAGUCUCGUGUUGCAGCUGUCGUGGACUAUCUUGCAAGGCUGAAGGCCGCCACAUCUCGCAUCGACUCGACGCUCUGGCCUGAGGAGACACUUCAGAGUGACCUUGAGUCGCUGAUGGCCCGCUUGAACACGAUCCCUGGUCGAGUGCAGGAGUGGAAGAAGUCUUCGGCUCGGUGUGGUGCAGAUGUCGCUCUGUGUCUGGCCCGGGUCCACUGCAAAGAUGCACGAGAGGAGAAGCUGGCGGCCCUUCGGGUGGCCAAUACCAAGAAGCACGACUUCAGGUCCUUUAUGGAGACUUUCCUUGCAGCUGCCACUCGGAUCGCCGACGGAAUUGACCUUGAUGAAUUUGUUGCACCUUCCAGCCCUCCACAGGAGGGGUAA